AUGCGUUAUGAAGACUAUGUUUACUAGAACCUACCCAACAUUGUUAUCUGAAGGACAAGGACUGUGUGGCUUUCCAUUUUAUCCUGGAAGAGACACAGACAACAUCAUUCUGUAGCAACAGGCAUGAUUUAACCAUCUCUAUGACUGAACCCAUGGAACAAAAUAGUUGCAAACCUCGAUUCUUACAGCUUUUACUCAAGAAAGUCCAGAAAGGAGAUUAUCAGCCUGAGACUAUUUCCAAUAAAAAGUCCCCAAGUCCUCAUCAGAGUGAAGAAAAUAGCCUGGAAGAAAAGCUACACCUGAAUCAUUUGAAACACUUGGAACAACUCUUUACAGCUCCAAAGGGGGAAGUUCUUGAAAAAAAUCCUGAAUGCAAGAAACUUUCCAAAAAGCAGAAAACUUAUCCCUCAGGAAGUUUGACUCUCCAGGAAUUAAAGAAUGCUCUGACUGAGCUUCUGGGUACAGAAUAUUGGAAUGGCCAAACAGAGCUGCUUUUCAACAAGAUUCAAACGGCCCAUGACAAUAUUGUGGAUUGGAGUGAAUUCUGUUCACAUUUACUACUCCAGUACCGAAAGAGAGAUGUUGUGGAAAAAACCAAGGACACUUUCUUUCAGGGAAAGCCCUUGAUCCGACAUUGUUCACAAAACAAGCAAGAGCCAACCACUCGAAUCUUAGCCAUCUUUUCUCCUUCUACAACACACUCAUUUGUGACUGUCAGCAAAGGAGGAAUUCUCAGCUUCUGGGAUAAUAACUUACAGCUUCAGAAGACAUAUGAGAUGUUAUCAGAUGCUGUUGAGGCGCCAAUGGGAAAGAAGAAGAUUAAAGUUUGGACAACAGAUGCAGUCUAUAUGCCUAAUGUUCAUAAAAUUGCUGUUGCUACAACAAGCAGAAAAAUUUAUUUUUUCGAAGUGUCUCUAGGCCCCAUCUUUGAAGAUUUCCAUCUCUUUGCAUUAAACUACAUUCCAACAUCAGUGUUCUACUGGUAUAAUACAGAAUCUGUCGAAAGCUGUUCUGUACUACUCUGGGGCGAUGACCAUGGAGGAGUGAGUGUGCUCAGGUUUCUCCACCCCAACAAAAGCUUAUAUGAAAAGUCUUUAUUUGAACAGACUGGGUUCUCUGGAAUCUACAUGCAGGAUAUUGAAAAUCACUGUCAGUUCUUAAGAUAUACUUAUAUCCGCCGCCUUCAUCAAGACUCCAUUUCCCAAAUCCAAUAUGUCCCAGAAGACCUUUGCAUUACAUCCUCCGGGAACUCUCAGACGUCCUUGGUAAUUAUGGACAUGGACCAAAAGAGAAAAGCAUAUACCUGGAAGAUUAAGAGGGGAAUAAAAUGCUUUGAUUUUUGCAAGUCUCUGAAUCUCUUGGUCAGUGGUGGAGCUGACUGCUGUGUUCGGGUGUGGAAUCGAUUUGUCCCAAGCCUCCCAACAGCCAUGCUCCGAGGACAUUCCUUGCCUAUCCUGGGGCUGGCCAUCCAAGAAGAAAAAGGACAGAUAUUCAGCUACUCCAAAGAUGCAGUACUGAAGAUCUGGGACAUGAGUUACCACAGUUGUCUCCAUACUGUGACACUGAAGUUUCCCCAUUCCCAAUCUGAGGAUGCUUUGGAACAAGGAACCUUCCCCUUUCUAUUUCUCCAGAAGCCUUUUCCCCUGAUCCUUAUCUCCUACAUAGACUACAUGGGAAUGCUGAGACUACCCAUGCCUACACAGUCAGAGACAAACUUUGCAACACCUCACAAGGCUCCAUUGUGUGGGACUGUUUACAAUGCAUUCUUCCAUCAGGUAGUGACAGGAUGCCACAAUUCCACCAUUGCAGUAUGGGAUGUUGAGACUGGCAUGAAGCAGUUAAUUUUAAAUAAUACCCACGGCGAGGAGGAAUUAACCUGUAUGGCCCUGGAUAACUCAGGUCGAAGGCUCAUCACAGCUGCCAGAAAUGGCACUAUCAAGGUCUGGGAUAUUCAGAGAGGUCACAUCUUGCACAAACUGGAGGUGGUAGAAGAUGCAGAAGUAACAGGGUUGGUCCCAAUUAGAAAGCAUAUAUUCCUAACAGUGGGAUGGAAUCGGAAAAUCAUCCUUUAUGACUGCUCGAAACUUGAGAAUGUAUACGUGCCUGCAGACAAGACUUGGAAAGGAGGACAACUCCAUAAGGAAGAUAUCUUAGCUGUGGAUUACUGUCCUCCUCUUGAUCUCCUUGCUACUGCCAGCUUUGAUGGAGAAAUUAUUGUAUGGAAUGUGGAGACCCAGCGGCCUCAUCACUUUGUCAGAAAGGUUUCACGUGAGAGCUCAUUAGGUCCUGUGAAUAAACUACUAUUCCUACAGCAUCGUUGCACAGAUCAGUCUCUACAGAAAGCUGCGAUUCUCAUAAGUGCUGAAACAGGGAACCUCCAUUGGUGGAGCCUCUUUGGGAAAAGGAUGGAAUAUGGCAAAUUUUAUGCUCCCUUAAAAGAGGAUAUUUCUGUGACUGGAUUGUCAGCCACCAAGAAUAACCAACUCCUGGUCACGGGAGACUCCAGUGGCUUUAUUCAGGUGUGGGAUAUUUCAGACUAUGGAACCACCCUGAGUUCAUCCAGUAACCCCCUCCUCCUUCGGAGCUGGAAGGCCCACAGCUGCACAGUUGUGAGUGUGGAGCACUUCUCUUAUGGCUCUGAUUCUUUCAUCAUCAGUGGCUCUUCAGAUGGGACCUCUGGGUUGUGGACUGCAGAGGGGACAUUUGUGGGACUAUUUGGACAAGAGAAAAAAUGGAGCCUGAGAGUGCCAGCUACCUAUUCUUCCCACAGAAAUGCUUUCCAGGGAAUGCCAGUCUUGGAUUCCAAAUUGGAAGAUACAACUAUUGAAAAAGACAGAGAUCUUUGUGAGAAGAGAAGUGAAAGCAGGAAGGGAAAGGAUAUGACUGAAAUCCACUCAUUCACUGAUGGUCAGAAGGGGGAUCAUAUGCCAGCCACUGAAGGAAACCCAAAGGCUGCAGAUUGGAAGUUACCAACUUCUUUGGGAGCUAUUCCUCUUCAACUGACUUCUCCAAAUGCAAAUUCCCAAAAGGGUGGAGGACAAAAUUGGGAACUGCCUCCCCAAUUAACAAACAGUUUCAGAAUACAUGAGGGUCCCUUUCAACACUAUAUGGAAUCAAAGCUAGGGAAACGAUUAGCAGGAAGGAAGGAAAGAAGGUGCCGAUUUGGAGAAAUUAACAUUCACAAGUGCUGCCAAUUUGGACAGAUCUGUUCUCCUUUCCAGGCCUUGGCCACUCCAGAGAUGCGAAGAUUAAUAUUGCCUCAGGACCUGCCCAUAAGUAAUCAGAUGGAGUACCUAGGAUUCUCCCCAACUGUAGACCCAGCAUUCCAAGAUUUUAUCAAAACUUCUGAAGACUUGACAGAAGAAGACAGUCAAAAUGAAAGAGAGAAACCAGUGACCCCAAUGAAAACACCUUUAUUCCCUCCAAUAGUUAAAACAUGAGACAUGGAAGAACUACCUAAAUGCACAGAGAUAUUUCAAAGAUUAACAUGGAGCUUGGGAAUGGAAAGGAAGGCACAGCUAUGAGAAAUGGACCAUUUUCUAUCCCACCCCCAUCUCCCUUCCAAGGACACUCUUCAGGAAGAUGCCCACAGCAAAGGAACUCUGAGGAGGAAGAUGUAGCUGGCCUGACUGGGUUAGUGAGCCCAGAGAAAGCAUAUUCACUACAAAUUAAAGGAGUCUCUCUAUGACCUUUCUUUUAUAUCUGUCUUCUGUGGUCCUUUAGUAUGUUUUUUUUUACUGACUUGCUAAAAGCAAGAAGUAGAACAGUUAUUAUGCAAUUUUUACCAGAACACUUUUUGUGCAAUUUGUUUGGAAAAAUCAAUGGACCAAUCUGGGGGAGGUUGCUGACAGGACUGCUUCCCUUCAGGGUCCAGUACCCCAUGUGAAAUUAGAGAUUUUUUAAAAGAUAUCUUUUGAUACAUCAAAGAAAACUUGCUCAUAGGCUUCCUGACAAAGAUUGAAAAUAUUAAAAUUUCUUUUUCCUCUAA